rnacentral:rRNA from 1 species
GGGGAAUUUUCCGCAAUGGGCGAAAGCCUGACGGAGCAAUACCGCGUGAGGGAAGACUGCCUAUGGGUUGUAAACCUCUUUUUUCAGGGUAGGAAUCAAUGACGUGUACCUGAAGAAUAAGCAUCGGCUAACUCCGUGCCAGCAGCCGCGGUAAGACGGAGGAUGCAAGUGUUAUCCGGAAUCACUGGGCGUAAAGCGUCUGUAGGUGGUUUAAUAAGUCAACUGUUAAAUCUUGAGGCUCAACUUCAAAAUCGCAGUCGAAACUAUUAGACUAGAGUAUAGUAGAGGUAAAGGGAAUUUCCAGUGGAGCGGUGAAAUGCGUAGAUAUUGGAAAGAACACCGAUGGCGAAAGCACUUUACUGGGCUAUUACUAACACCCAGAGACGAAAGCUAGGGUAGCAAAUGGGAUUAGAUACCCCAGUAGUC